rnacentral:rRNA from 1 species
UCCUCCAAGGCUAAAUACUCCUGACUGACCGAUAGUGAACCAGUACCGUGAGGGAAAGGCGAAAAGAACCCCGGCGAGGGGAGUGAAAAAGAACCUGAAACCGUGUACGUACAAGCAGUGGGAGCACCCUUCGGGGUGUGACUGCGUACCUUUUGUAUAAUGGGUCAGCGACUUAUAUUCUGUAGCAAGGUUAACCGUAUAGGGGAGCCGGAGGGAAACCGAGUCUUAA